AUAUAAGAUUGAAAGAAAAAUGUUUUAAAAAAAAUAUUAACAAAGUUAUGAGCAUCGGGAUAUCACGGUAGGACACACUAUAUAUUAUGUAUUUAUACAUGUUUUAUAUAUCUCAAAUAGUUUUUUUAAACUAAUGCAAAUUUCCAAUUUGGGAGGAGGGCGCAAAUGCAGUGAUUCCCUAGAGGCUAGCUAAUUUGCAAACUGGAAUAAAACAAAUCAAACAAAUCAAGUUAGAGAAAUAUUAAAUUAAAAUAGUUAACUUACAAAAAUGUGUGUUAUAAAGGCUU